AUAAAAAGGAUACUGUACUGGUACAUUAUACGUUUUCAUUUAAAAUAUAGCUUUCUUUUUAAAAGUGUUUACUGUGCACCAAGUUGGGGCCAAAGCCACUGAUUUAUAUUUUCAUUCCUCUGUCUCUUUAAAUCUGGAAGUUUAGGCCCAGGUCCCCAGAACAGCUUUGGAGAUCAGGAAGUGUUUUGCUUCAGGGGUUUUGGCUUCCUGUAACUCUUCCAUAUUGAGCUGUCCCUUCUUCGACUUUGCAGGCUGCUGAUCUAUAAAGAGAAGGAAAGAGGAUGGUAAAAGAAUUGCAGCUCUGAUGAUUUAGUUUGUGAGUAUUGCAGGAUAUGAGCAUAGAAUUACAAGUUCCUGCCUGCUUUGGAUGCAACUGACCUGUGAGAUGGUACCUAGCUUGUAUGACGCAGUUGGAACAUCUGGAAGGUAUACAAGAUAGAUGUGUAAUCCCUUAUCAUUAGAAACUGGGAGGAUCUGGAGCCACUUACUUAAGAGAAGUGUAGUUCGCAUCUGAAAUGUAGUUCCACACCACCACAGAAUCACUGCUCUUGCCUCAUACUAAACAACAGCAUAAUUUGCGCUGAUGCAACAUGCAGAUUUAUUUAAAAUAAAUACAAAUUAUUUUGGCUUCUGAGUUUUAGCAGAGUUUUUGAAGUUUCCUUAAAGUUAUUAUGAUCAGAUGAAGCUAAUUACAGAGUACUUUACAUAUACUCAUCUGGUAAAUGUCAUACAACAGACGGAGUCAAAGGGAAGGUAUGUGGGAUUUUUUGGUCUUUUCUUUUUCAUUCUCAUUAAUGUUCCUGCUCAAUUCAAAGCAUGCACUUCUGACAUAGUUUCUUUUCCUUGGAAACCAUUUCCCAUUCUAAAGCCAGUUUCUCCAGUUCAUAAUUAUCUGGAGAACUUCUCAAAAGUGGGAUGAAUAUCAUAUUUCCAUUACUGUGUAUGUGGCCCAAGAAACUUGUCUGGCACUGUAAAAGCACCAUGUUUAGAACACAAGUAUCAAAGCCUGCACAUAUCUACUUGUUAAAAAAAUUGUAGCUCUCUUUUGCCACUCUUAAUUCCAGAGGAAGGUGGAAGGGCCUGGGGUCUUUAGUCAGGAAGCCACUAAGCUACUGCACCCAUUCUCCAGCUAACGCUCUCAAACAAACUUAUAUCUCACCUGUACUCUUUGUCCCUUAAGGAAACUCUGUGAACUGAUUAGAAAAUAUAAAUGGAGAAGGAGAAAUGUCUGUUGGAUGUUGCCUUUGCUCUAUGUUACUUUAAGGGAGUCUGUUCGCCUCCUUUUUUAUAUACCAUUUUACCUUCUGUUUUAAGUCUUUUAACUUGAUCACUGACUCUGUAAAUUUGAUUUUAGAGCUAAUCAGCAUUUACUGUUUAACCAGAGGUUUUUAGUUUUAGGAAAUGCAGUUUUAUUGUGUGUUUUGCUAUUUCAGAUGGGCAAAGAAAUGGUCUUUUCAAACAGUUUACUCAGAACUGUGCUAGCGUGAUUUCCAGUUGUAUUGUAUACAUUAGCAGUGAUAAGGGCAUAGACUAAUCUAUGGGGUCAUCUUUUCCUACUGUAGUAAAAUAGUUUUAGCAUGUGUAAAGUAGCUUUAGUUGUUUCAUACAAAAAAUGCAGACAGUCAUAUAGGUGAGCAUAUAUAUAUAUAUAUAUAUAGUUAAGCUUCUUGGAAAAUUAUAUUUCUAUUGAAUAUGAGCUUAUUAAAAAAACCUCUGAAUUUAUAAUUCUGUCUCAAGUUUUGUACCACAAGAUAUGAACACAGUUUUUUACUUUGCAUAGAUGAGAUAAAUUUUCAUAUCAACUUAUUUGAAACAAACAUUGACAAUGUCUUGUGCAAGAUACACAUUCUCCUGCCUCAUGUUGAAUAGCUUCAGAACAUGGCCAGUUGUUCAGGAAAAACACUACUCAAGAAGGGAAACUUAAAAAAAAAUAUACUGUGUCUUUAUAAAACAAAGUGCCUACUUCUGGUUAUGCUAAAUAGCGAGGGGCCUCAUCUGAGUCAGUGUGAAAACAAGAUUCUCUUAGUAAUUAUGAAACAAUCAUGUUUAGCAUAUUUUAUCAGAAUUUGCAUAAAAGAAACUUCUCUUCACAAAAUUGAGCUUGGAUUUUUUAAAAAUCUGUUUAAGAAGUGAUUCUAAUAGCUAUGCCGUCAUGCUUUUAUUUACAGCAUACAAGGAUAUUAAGAAAGAGGGUCGAGACCAAUCUGGAGUGAAUUUCCAUCACCCAUAGUGGUUUUUGCUAAGAAAACAGGCUUUAAAUAUAAACAACAUCUGUAUUUUUCAUGUUGUCUUUCUAAAUAAUGGUUCUGACAGCUUGCUCUCAUUGUAAUGCAACAGUUUGAUUCCUUCAUCUGCCAGUCAUGCAGGGCUUUGUGCAGAAUGCAGAGUUCCAACAUAUUUAAACAUACAUCUCUCAAAACUUUUGAUAUCUUUUCCCCCCCGACAGGAUUUCAAAAGGUAGAUGACUGUGAAAUGCACUUUCAUUCUCUGUGUUAGUGCUUUAACAUUAGUCUGACUUUAAUAGGCUGGGAUGAUUUCAGCUUAUAAAUCUUCAACUGGAGGAUAAAGUUCAAGUAGAUAAAAUCAAACAGAUGUUGGUGGGAGGAUUUCUUCAUGACCCAUAAAAGUGCUAUCAUCAAAGCCUAGAAUCAUUUGUUUUGAAUUAUUACAUUGUUAUCAAAAGGACUGUAGCAGUCUGUUUGUUGAGAAAUUGGAUCUGUUUAUCUGAAAACAGAACAAAGAUGCCAUGCUAAGAUGUCCCUGGGAAAGUGUGGGUUAGCUGAUGGCUGACACGGUAGGGUAGCUGUGAGACAUUUUGACUGACAGCUGUCAGCAUAACUGCGAGACCUGGAAGCUUUUGUAGACUAUAUUUUUCCUAAAAAUGGCAUAAAAUGCAGUAUUAUGCAUUAUCGAUGCCUCUCUAAAAAGCAAACUUUCUUAAAAAAAGAAAAGAGGGUUUUAUAUACAAUUGGUAGAUGUGAAAUAAAGUUACCUUUUAAUAAUAAUAUUCAACCCUUUUUAAAUGGUUUUUCAGAUAAGACAUUUCAUGCUUUUAUUUCAACUCCAGCACACUGUUUAAACGGAAACAAGUUACACCUUUGUAAGUGAAAAAAUGUGGAUUUUUUAUUGCCCAUCACAAAGACUUUGCUCUUUCACUCCUGAUUCAUAAAACAAAAAUUAGCGUAUAAGUGGCACAUGUACCAAUGUUUGAAUGGAUCUAAGGCCAGCUCUCAGAUUUAAGUGGAAAUCAUGUAAAAGCAUGAGGACAUAACUCUCCUAAAAUCCUACAGCUACUACAUAUGUUCAUGUGUAGGAAAAAAAAGUGUGAUUGAAACUUGGCCUCUGACAAAGACUUUUAGGGCAUUCUCUUUCCGUUACAGGAGUGCUGAAUGGGAAUUAAAACAGGCCAGAAAUUCACUCUGUCCCAUUGUAAUAAUGAUGAAAUCUUGUCCCAAAGCCCUUUACAGACAUGUGAUACUAGCUGCCACUUUAGCUGCAUGGGGAUUCCCAAGUCAGACUGCUUUGUGGUGGUUUUCUUCACCACUGUACGAUGCCAGUUCAGGAAAGUGUCACAACCCAAGGGUGUGAUUUUUUGUUUGUGUGUGCUUCGGCACUGCUAAAUUAUUUUCCCGCUGUUUGUAGCUUUCUUUGCAGGGUGCAUUUCUUCGGUGCAGCACAGAAAUGCACAUUGCAAGGAGUUCCCGCCAUUUGUAUUUAGAUUCGUGCCCCACUAUUGGUCAGUUUUAAAUUAUUCCUACGUGGCAGCUAGCGAUUGGCUUGCUAGCCGUAUAAGAGGCUUGAGUGGUUUCCGCCCAAGUUGGAGGACUCCACGAACAUCAGGAGGAGGAGACUUCACGUUUUGUGAAGAUCUCUAAGUGCUGCGGAGCCUAUUGGACCCAGCGUGAAUAUCAAGAAGGCAUCAGGGGUCUGAUCACCCUCUAGCCUCUCCCCGUCACCAAGCGAAAUCCUCGACGUACCCUUUCCCUGCACGCACAAGUUCCAUGGAGCCUAACAAACUUCGUGUGAAUGAAUUUUGAGUGAAUCCAGAGCUCUGUCCGAGUCCUUAAACUGGGACUGAAGCGAAGUAUUCCUGGAAGUUUUCCAGCCUGCACCGCGACCAUCUACGGUGUAAGUAAACAAUCUUAAACAACCA